UUGUAGCGGAGGACUCUUGGACACUGCCUUUGAAUUUAUCAUAAAAAACAAGGGCCUCACUACAGAAGCAAACUAUCCAUACAGGGGAGAAGAUGGUGUCUGCAACAAGAAAAAAUCAGCUCUUUCAGCAGCCAAAAUUACAGGUAUAAGCCCAUAAAAAUAUAAAAGAACAAAACUCUCAAUUGGGUGAGUUGGGUUAAUUAUGACCUAUAUUAUUAAUAUAGAGCCCGGUAAUUAAAAUUCCGAACCUGUUAAUUUGAAAUUCUGAUUUUGUCUCUGAUUAUAGGAUAUGAAGAUGUGCCAGCGAACAGUGAGAAGGCUCUAUUGCAGGCAGUAGCUAAUCAACCAGUGUCGGUGGCAAUAGAUGGGAGUAGCUUCGAUUUCCAGUUCUAUUCAAGUGGAGUAUUCGGUGGAUCAUGUAGCACUUGGCUUAACCAUGCUGUUACAGCAGUAGGAUAUGGUGCAACAAGUGAUGGUACAAAAUAUUGGAUUAUAAAGAAUUCAUGGGGCAGUAAAUGGGGUGACAGUGGAUAUAUGCGCAUCAAAAGGGAUGUUCAUGAGAAAGAAGGCCUUUGUGGACUUGCUAUGGAUGCUUCUUAUCCCACUGCCUAAAAGGAAAUUAAUAAUCCUUUGGUUUUUUCAGUAAUUUUCAACCAUGUUUAUGUAUGUGAAUAUUGUGUUGUGGGUUUGAGGUAGACUUGGAUUAGACUGUCCAUAUAUAGUUAAAGCAUGCGCUUAAAAGGUGACAGCUUCAAAAUUGUAAUUUUAUGCUCAUCAUGUGAAUUAUAAUGG
rnacentral:lncRNA from 1 species